rnacentral:rRNA from 1 species
GACGAACGCUGGCGGCGUGCCUAAUACAUGCAAGUCGAACGCUUCUUUUUCCACCGGAGCUUGCUCCACCGGAAAAAGAGGAGUGGCGAACGGGUGAGUAACACGUGGGUAACCUGCCCAUCAGAAGGGGAUAACACUUGGAAACAGGUGCUAAUACCGUAUAACAAUCGAAACCGCAUGGUUUUGAUUUGAGAGGCGCUUUCGGGUGUCGCUGAUGGAUGGACCCGCGGUGCAUUAGCUAGUUGGUGAGGUAACGGCUCACCAAGGCCACGAUGCAUAGCCGACCUGAGAGGGUGAUCGGCCACAUUGGGACUGAGACACGGCCCAAACUCCUACGGGAGGCAGCAGUAGGGAAUCUUCGGCAAUGGACGAAAGUCUGACCGAGCAACGCCGCGUGAGUGAAGAAGGUUUUCGGAUCGUAAAACUCUGUUGUUAGAGAAGAACAAGGAUGAGAGUAACUGUUCAUCCCUUGACGGUAUCUAACCAGAAAGCCACGGCUAACUACGUGCCAGCAGCCGCGGUAAUACGUAGGUGGCAAGCGUUGUCCGGAUUUAUUGGGCGUAAAGCGAGCGCAGGCGGUUUCUUAAGUCUGAUGUGAAAACCCCCGGCUCAACCGGGGAGGGUCAUUGGAAACUGGGAGACUUGAGUGCAGAAGAGGAGAGUGGAAUUCCAUGUGUAGCGGUGAAAUGCGUAGAUAUAUGGAGGAACACCAGUGGCGAAGGCGGCUCUCUGGUCUGUAACUGACGCUGAGGCUCGAAAGCGUGGGGAGCAAAC